AGAGUUUGAUCAUGGCUCAGGACGAACGCUGGCGGCGUGCUUAACACAUGCAAGUCGAACGAUGAAGGGGAGCUUGCUCCCUGGAUUAGUGGCGAACGGGUGAGUAACACGUGAGUAACCUGCCCUGGACUCUGGGAUAACCCCGAGAAAUCGGAGCUAAUACCGGAUAGGACCUGGAACCGCAUGGUUUUGGGUGGAAAGUUUUUCGGUCUGGGAUGGACUCGCGGCCUAUCAGCUUGUUGGUGAGGUAAUGGCUCACCAAGGCGUCGACGGGUAGCCGGCCUGAGAGGGUGACCGGCCACACUGGGACUGAGACACGGCCCAGACUCCUACGGGAGGCAGCAGUGGGGAAUAUUGCACAAUGGGCGCAAGCCUGAUGCAGCAACGCCGCGUGAGGGAUGACGGCCUUCGGGUUGUAAACCUCUUUUAGUAGGGAAGAAGGGCUUCGGCUUGACGGUACCUGCAGAAAAAGCACCGGCUAACUACGUGCCAGCAGCCGCGGUA
rnacentral:rRNA from 1 species